UGGCCCUGCCUCUAAAGUACGUAUUCACAUGGCACUAGCUGCUCUGCAUGACUGUAUCGAUCUAUCGGGCUCUUGGUAAUGCUUGCAACCAUUUUUCCAUACGAGUGUUCUUCUCGGUUUAGUUUGCUUCGGAGUUAUCAAAGGUCAAUAGGUCAUGUCAUGUGGUUUUGAGUCGUUUGACCUGUAUUGUAUGCAAAACCAUUUGCUAGAAACAUCGCACCUUUAAUUCUGAUAGGUGAUAGCUCUAGGGAAAGAGAAGGAAAACAUGAAGUGAGGACUUGCAAUCACUAUACUAGAUCCUCACAAUGUGUGCCGGUAACAGGCUAAUUUGUGCCCCGUGGACAACUAGAGUGUUUGUGUUUUCUCAACCGUUGGACAGAGGUCCAUCCAAGGAUGUUGCAUAUGCAACUCGAAGUUAUCUUAUAGCAUACUCAUUGUGGAAUUCAGACCAUUUUUUUCUGAUGGGUUUUGUAACAAAUUUUCUCCUCAAGUAAACAUUAUGUUCUUUUUGAGAGCUGCACAAUUCUUUCUUUUCGUACUAGAAACAUUUUGUUCUUUCCUUUUGUACACAAGCAAAACAUUGCUUUCCAAAACGACUAGCAAUACCUAGUUUGUAUUCCCUUCGUCGACAAAUGAACGGACUUCUUGAAUCUAUAGGACAAAGUCGAAUAGGAAAAUACUCUAGGCUAUUGUCCCUCAUUACAGCUAAAGGACUAGCUUCUGAUUGUUGCAAUUCAAGAGCGAAUACCCCCUGAUUGGCACAAUUAAAGGGUGUUCUGCUCCUGAAUUAUGCAAUUAAGAGUUAGAUCUGAUGAGUACUCAUAACUCCUUAUUUUUGUGGACAUAUUUCAAAUGGUAGAAGUCCUUAUAUUUGUUGACGAGGUAUGUACUUUGUGCAGAGAUGGUGUGUGCUCCUCAAAGAUGCUGAUGAGAUUGGAGGGUUUGAGGAACAAAUGGAUCCGAGUCAAAACAUGGAUGGAAAACUUCAAAGGGCCCCCGACAAGGGUAACAAGGAAGAUCUGAUGUACUCCCUCCGACCUCCAUAUCUAGACAUACAUCUAGCAAAAUGGAUACAACAAAAAAGCAAAAGUGACUUAUAAUUUGGAACUGAGGGAGUAGUGGUUUUUGUUGGUAAUGUGUUAUGUCUAUAGCCACUGGUUUAGUUUUUUCUACUCCCUCCAAUCUUCGUUCCAAAAGCAAUUUGCAGACUAAUUUGUCAUCUCAAUAAAAAGUUUAACAAUUAUAGUAUUUAAUAAGUAUAAUUAGAUCAUUAUGGCGUAUAUUUUUAUUGUAUGCCUAUCUGAUAUCAUAAAUAUUGGUAAUUGUUUUCAACAAAUAUGGUCAAACUUAACAUAUUUGGAUUUAGAACAAAUCUAGAAUUGUAUUGUUUUUUUAGGAUGUUGGGAGCAGUCAUUAGGUGUGUCAGUGUGUGGGUCUUUGCUUGUUGAGCUGGUCUUUGUAGGUUUGGUUGUGUACCGAAGUCUUUUAAAAGAUAGGUUUCCCUUGCCAACAAAACAUUUUUAUUGUACUAUCUAGUGGAACUUUUUCCCUUCUCAGAGG
rnacentral:lncRNA from 1 species